rnacentral:lncRNA from 12 species
UAUCAUUAUCCUUCUAUGUUUCAUCAAUGCUUGCAAAUUUUCUAUUAAUGCUCAUUCUAUUUUUUCAAUGUAGAUUUACCUGCUUUUGCUAGAUAAUUAUGUCAGUGUUGUUCAUUGUUUUAAAGAACAACAAUAAUCAUUAUCAUUAAGAUAAUGCUCAAGAAAUUACUCCUCAUAUUUGGGUUGAUAAAAGAAUUCAAAUCAAUUCUACAAAUACUUACUGCACAUUUACUAAUUGCUUAUUACUCUGCCAGGCAAUGUAGAGAAGACAGAUUAGCAGAAGAAAACUUCCCUCUGGAAGCCACUGAUCUCAUUGAGGAGAUAAAAUACAGACUAAUGGGAAUUCUGCAUUCACUGGUACCCAAUGUUUUGCAAAUCCUAGCGAAAUGUUGGAGGAUCACCAAGAUGUGGGGAGAGAGGGAAGCUAUUGUUCCAGCACAUUCCAUUCCUGUUAAAUCAACUUGAUAUACGCGAUAGAUUAAGUCUGCACUGCAGAUCAAGAACCCCUAAGCUAAAAAGGAAAGUGAAGAAGAUCCACCAAAGAAUAAAGACGAACACUCUGGCUGCA